GUGAAUCAUCGAAUUUUUGAACGCAAAUUGCACUCUCUGGUAUUCCGGAGAGUAUGCCUGUUUGAGGGUCAGAUUAAAUAAAAAUCGGUGUGGUUGCUGCCUUUCGUGGUGACGCACCGGAUUUGGGUCGUCUUGCCUUCGGUUAAUUGACUUAAAGUGUUGCAUUAUUUUUUUUGAACGUAUUUAAAUGAUUUUAUGUAAGUUUGCGAUAUAGAAUAUUAGGUUUG
rnacentral:misc_RNA from 1 species